rnacentral:rRNA from 1 species
CGGAUUGUAGUCUGCAACCCGACUACAUGAAGCUGGAAUCGCUAGUAAUCGCGAAUCAGAAUGUCGCGGUGAAUACGUUCCCGGGUCUUGUACACACCGCCUGUCACACCAUGGGAGUCGGAAAUGCCCGAAGUCAGUGACCCAACCGUAAGGAGGGAGCUGCCGAAGGUGGAGCCGGUAACUGGGGGUGAAGUCGUAACAAGGUAUC